UUUUGGACAAUGGGGGAAACCCUGAUCCAGCAAUUCCGCGUGAGCGAAGAAGGCCUUCNGGUUGUNANGCUCUUUCGGCAGGGAANCAAAUGACGGUACCUGACGAAGAACCACCGGCUAACUCCGUGCCACCAGCCGCGGUAAUACGGAGGGGGCUAGCGUUGUUCGGAAUCACUGGGCGUAAAGCGCACGUAGGCGGCUACUCAAGUCAGAGGCGAAAGCCUGGGGCUCAACCUCAGAAUUGCCUUUGAAACUAGGUAGCUUGAAGAUGGGAGAGGUAAGCGGAAUUCCGAGUGUAGAGGUGAAAUUCGUAGAUAUUCGGAAGAACACCAGUGGCGAAGGCGGCUUACUGGACCAUUCUUGACGCUGAGGUGCGAAAGCGUGGGGAGCAAACA
rnacentral:rRNA from 1 species